UACAGGGGGUGCAAACGUUGCUCGGAAUCAUUGGGCGUAAAGCGCACGUAGGCGGUUCGUUAUGUCGGAUGUGAAAGCCCUUGGCUUAACCGAGGAAGUGCAUCCGAAACUGGCGAGCUAGAGUACUAAAGAGGAUCGCGGAAUUCCCGGUGUAGAGGUGAAAUUCGUAGAUAUCGGGAGGAACACCGGUGGCGAAGGCGGGUCUCUGGGCCGAUACUGACGCUGAGGAGCGAAAGCGUGGGGAGCGAACAGG
rnacentral:rRNA from 1 species